UGGUAAUGCCGGAUGCUCCAGUUGAUCGCAUGGUCUUCUGGGAAAGCUUUCGCGGUAUGGGAUGGGGUCGCGUCCUAUCAGCUUGACGGCGGGGUAACGGCCCACCGUGGCUUCGACGGGUAGCCGGCCUGAGAGGGCGACCGGCCACAUUGGGACUGAGAUACGGCCCAGACUCCUACGGGAGGCAGCAGUGGGGAAUAUUGCACAAUGGGCGCAAGCCUGAUGCAGCGACGCCGCGUGAGGGAUGGAGGCCUUCGGGUUGUAAACCUCUUUUAUCGGGGAGCAAGCGAGAGUGAGUUUACCCGUUGAAUAAGCACCGGCUAACUACGUGCCAGCAGCCGCGGUAAUACGUAGGGUGCAAGCGUUAUCCGGAAUUAUUGGGCGUAAAGGGCUCGUAGGCGGUUCGUCGCGUCCGGUGUGAAAGUCCAUCGCUUAACGGUGGAUCCGCGCCGGGUACGGGCGGGCUUGAGUGCGGUAGGGGAGACUGGAAUUCCCGGUGUAACGGUGGAAUGUGUAGAUAUCGGGAAGAACACCAAUGGCGAAGGCAGGUCUCUGGGCCGUUACUGACGCUGAGGAGCGAAAGCGUGGGGAGCGAACAGGAUUAGAUACCCUGGUAGUCCACGCCGUAAACGGUGGAUGCUGGAUGUGGGGCCCGUUCCACGGGUUCCGUGUCGGAGCUAACGCGUUAAGCAUCCCGCCUGGGGAGUACGGCCGCAAGGCUAAAACUCAAAGAAAUUGACGGGGGCCCGCACAAGCGGCGGAGCAUGCGGAUUAAUUCGAUGCAACGCGAAGAACCUUACCUGGGCUUGACAUGUUCCCGACGGUCGUAGAGAUACGGCUUCCCUUCGGGGCGGGUUCACAGGUGGUGCAUGGUCGUCGUCAGCUCGUGUCGUGAGAUGUUGGGUUAAGUCCCGCAACGAGCGCAACCCUCGCCCCGUGUUGCCAGCGGAUUAUGCCGGGAACUCACGGGGGACCGCCGGGGUUAACUCGGAGGAAGGUGGGGAUGACGUCAGAUCAUCAUGCCCCUUACGUCCAGGGCUUCACGCAUGCUACAAUGGCCGGUACAACGGGAUGCGACGCGGCGACGCGGAGCGGAUCCCUGAAAACCGGUCUCAGUUCGGAUCGCAGUCUGCAACUCGACUGCGUGAAGGCGGAGUCGCUAGUAAUCGCGAAUCAGCAACGUCGCGGUGAAUGCGUUCCCGGGCCUUGUACACACCGCCCGUCAAGUCAUGAAAGUGGGCAGCACCCGAAGCCGGUGGCCUAACC
rnacentral:rRNA from 1 species